rnacentral:rRNA from 1 species
UGGGGAAUAUUGGGCAAUGGGCGCAAGCCUGACCCAGCAACGCCGCGUGAAGGAAGAAGGCCUUCGGGUUGUAAACUUUUGUUGUAGAGGACGAAGAAAGUGACUGUACUCUACGAGGAAGCCCCGGCUAACUAUGUGCCAGCAGCCGCGGUAAUACAUAGGGGGCAAGCGUUGUCCGGAAUCACUGGGCGUAAAGGGAGCGUAGGCGGAUGUUUAAGUUAAGUGUGAAAGCCUGGGGCUUAACUCCAGAAAUGCACUUAAUACUGGACAACUAGAGUGUGGGAGAGGUAAGUGGAAUUCCUAGUGUAGCGGUGAAAUGCGUAGAUAUCAGGAGGAACAUCGGUGGCGAAGGCGGCUUGCUGGGCUUUUACUGACGCUGAGGCUCGAAAGCGUGGGGAGCAAACAGGAUUAGAUACCCUGGUAGU